AGUAGCCGUGAAGCAGGAGGGCACGUAGCUUGUAGAGUAGCUGAAGUGUAGCCAGGCCAUAGCUGACCUGUUCAAUCUCACCCACCCAGUAGGUGCAGAUGGAGGUUGCUUUGCAGCUAAAUGCUGCGUACUGCAGAUGUUCAACUCAACAACACUGAGCUCCUACAACGUACUGUGCUCUUCGCAUGGUCGAUAGACUUUUACUAUGUUGCCCCUAGUUCGCCUGGAACCAGCUAUAUUGGCCAGGCUGGCCCUUGACCUUGCAGUAGUUUUUCUACCUCUGCUGUGAUGACGGGAUAUGCCACCAUGCCUAGGUCCUGGGGAUCAGAUUCAGAUUAUCAAGUUUGGAGGGAGGUGCCUUUCCCAGUCAUCUUGUGGGGCCCCUGCCCUUUCCUAAGGCAGAGUGCCAAAUCGAUGCUUCCUGUAUACCUUACCCCCCCACCCCCGUAUGCUGUUCCUUGUCAGUUGAGGAAAUUAUCUGAGCCAUGGUACUCGGGCCCCUGGCACAAGAGUAAAGAAGACCGCAUGCACUGUCAGGAAUAAAAAGCAGAGGUGAAGCCAGUGGUUGGACUCACCUAUGAUUGCAGCACUCAGGAGGCUGAGGCAGGAGGACUGCUUUGAGUUUAAGGUCAGCCUGGAAAACAUCCUAUUUGAGGAUAAGUUUGGCUACAUCAUGAGGCCCUAUCAUGGGGGUGGGGGAAUCAACAAACUAUACCCCCCCCCGCCAUUCCCUGCUUUUACUGGAAAUAAAGGUCU